AUUAGUCUCACGAAUCACGUAAUGUGACAGGACCAAACUGCUUUAAGAUCCGUAAAUGGCCAACGAUAUACUCGAUGGUUCGUACUGAUCUUAUCUGGGCCGCCCGGUCGCAGUUGACACUUUUCUCUCCCGUCACCGACGACCACGCAUCGGGCGGAGGCGAUGGAGAGCACCGUGGAGGCACUGAGCGCUGCCUAUGACGAGUUCGUAGCUGCGGCGGCGGCCGCCCUGGAGGCAAAGGAGCAGUCCGGCGGGCAGAAGACGCCCGUCACCGACGCCGCGCUCGAGGCCUUCAAGCAGCGGUGGGAACUCUUCCGCGUCGCCUGCGACCAGGCCGAGGAGUUCGUUGAGUCUAUGAAGCAGCGCAUCGGCUCCGAGUGCUUAGUCGACGAGGCAACCGGCGCCGCACCCUCCAAGGCUGGCCGCCCUGCCACGGCACCCGGGAUCCCGCCCAUCAGCGCCGUCCGGCUCGAGCAGAUGAGCAAGGCCGUCAGGUGGCUCGUCAUCGAGCUCCAGAACGGGUCCGGGGUUGGCGCAGCCGCCGCCGCUGCGGCCCAUCCCCAUGUUUCCGCGCCCUUUGACGCCCGGUUCUCCGACGACGCCGGGCAAUAGGUGAGAGGAAGAGGCAAAAUGGUGUUCUUGGAGACAGGACAGCAUCUGCAUUCAGUAUCGCACGACAUUUCUUUAUAUUCAAAAAGCAGGAGAUGAGGUUGUCCCGAACAUGUGUCGCGACUUUUCACCGCUGUAGCCGUAAUUAUUAAGAUUAAGUUCGGAGAAUGGUUCAUCAUAGUCAAGAAAUUUGUGAUAACACUCUGGCAUGGCCAUCUUUCCUUACCCUGUGUUAAGUAUUUCUUUCCUCUCCUGUUGUAGUUUGAGACCCAUAAUGAAAUUAUACCCUGUUCUGCUACUGAUGUGCACCUACUUUGUCUCAAUUGACUCUGCCUUUGUCAUCUGAACACAC